AUAUAAUAGUAACACAGCAGAUAAGAUACAUAUAGAGAUAAUGACAG
rnacentral:misc_RNA from 1 species